UAUGGGACUUUGAUGUCUGAAGACUUACCCAGAAUGCUCAAAAUGAACUGUGUUUCCUUCCUUGCAGUCCAGUGAUGCAUAUCAUCAUUGCUGCCUUGUAUGUGGUGAUUGUUAUAGUUCUUUUAAUACCUACGAGUCAAAGUAGGAGACUGAGGCUGUGUUUGCUGCGUCACUUGAGCUGAAGCAUCAACUUUUACCAUCACCUCAUCCACCUGAUGUUGGUUUCGACUUUGUCUAGGAUAUUCCGGAGCUAUUUUAGGAGGGGUGAUUAGACCUAUUGUGGUUACAGAAGAAGCAGUAGGCUUCAUCCUGUAUAAAAGCAGAAGAGAGCAACAACGUAAAGACAGCGAAACGCAUACCGAAUUUCCCAGAGGAACCCACCCGAGGGAUUAAUAAAGUUUUAUCUCAUCUUUUAUCUUAUCUUACAUGAGAAAAUCUGUUUGAACUACUCUGUAAAAAAUCAGUUGUUUGAAAACAGUGUUAUGGUCAUGAAGAUACAAUCAGAUGUCUAUAAUGACUCUAAUUAAACGGC
ensembl:lncRNA